GAUGAACGCUAGCGGCAGGCCUAACACAUGCAAGUCGAGGGAGGAGCUUUCGGGCUUCGACCGGCGUACGGGUGCGUAACGCGUAUACAAUCUGCCUUUCACAUAGGGAUAGCCCGAAGAAAUUUGGAUUAAUACCUAAUGGUAUAUAGGAGUGGCAUCACAUUUAUAUUAAAGCUGAGGCGGUGAAAGAUGAGUAUGCGUUCUAUUAGCUAGUUGGAGAGGUAACGGCUCCCCAAGGCGACGAUAGAUAGGGGUUCUGAGAGGGAUAUCCCCCACACUGGUACUGAGAUACGGACCAGACUCCUACGGGAGGCAGCAGUGAGGAAUAUUGGACAAUGGUCGGAAGACUGAUCCGGCCAUGCCGCGUGCAGGAAGACGGCCUUAUGGGUUGUAAACUGCUUUUGCAGGGGAAGAAUAAGGACUACGAGUAGUUUGAUGACGGUACUCUGCGAAUAAGCAUCGGCUAACUCCGUG
rnacentral:rRNA from 1 species